rnacentral:rRNA from 1 species
UACGGAGGGAGCAAGCGUUACUCGGAAUUAUUGGGCGUAAAGGGUGCGCAGGCGGCGCGGUAAGUCGGGUGUGAAAUCUCGGAGCUUAACUCCGAAACUGCAUUCGAUACUGCCGUGCUUGAGGACUGGAGAGGAGACUGGAAUUUACGGUGUAGCGGUGAAAUGCGUAGAUAUCGUAAGGAAGACCAGUGGCGAAGGCGGGUCUCUGGACAGUUCCUGACGCUGAGGCACGAAGGUCAGGGGAGCAAACGGG